rnacentral:rRNA from 1 species
CAGCAAGCCACGGUAAUACGAAGGGGGCUAGCGUUGCUCGGAAUGACUGGGCGUAAAGGGCGCGUAGGCGGCGAUCAAAGUCAGGCGUGAAAUUCCUGGGCUCAACCUGGGGGCUGCGCUUGAUACUUGGUUGCUUGAGUGGGGAAGAGGGUCGUGGAAUUCCCAGUGUAGAGGUGAAAUUCGUAGAUAUUGGGAAGAACACCGGUGGCGAAGGCUGCGACCUGGUCCUUGACUGACGCUGAGGCGCGAAAGCGUGGGGAGCAAACAGGAUUAGAUACCCCCGUAGUCCCUGUCUCUUAUA